rnacentral:rRNA from 1 species
CUCGUAGGUGGUUCGUCACGUCGGAUGUGAAACUCUGGGGCUUAACCCCAGACCCUGCAUUCGAUACGGGCGAGCUUGAGUAUGGUAGGGGAGUCUGGAAUUCCUGGUGUAGCGGUGGAAUGCGCAGAUAUCAGGAGGAACACCAAUGGCGAAGGCAGGACUCUGGGCCAUUACUGACACUGAGGAGCGAAAGCGUGGGGAGCGAACA